GAAUUUAACUCUUUUUACUUCCCUUUUCAGGCCUGAAUGACUGUCAUGAAGAACCUGUAGGGAGCUGUUGGCAACGGCACCAAGCCCUGCCCUGGCUGUGAGCCUCUGCAGAAGCCACAGCGACUAUUCCUGUUCCAAGGGUGCACUCGUGGGUUUCCAGGAUCCUCCGUCUGCGUAGGAGAACCCUGCGGCCUGACACGUCUUCCUAACCGAACAGACCAUGGAGAGGCAAUCUAGUCUUACUCUUCCCUCUCUUCCACAGUACAGCGCUGCGCACAAUAUAAACAAAAGGUUUUCCUGCCUUUCUCAGCAUUGCCCAAUUCGCUUUCCAAUAGCCAACACCACCACAAACAUUACUGGUCCAACAGUUAUCCACAGCCCAAGGAUACACCAAUCUGAUGCUGUCUUUGUUAGGGUUUCUAAUACUACAAUAAAUCAUCACAACUAAUGGCAA